rnacentral:rRNA from 1 species
GAUGAACGCUGGCGGCGUGCUUAACACAUGCAAGUCGAACGGGAAUGCCACGCUGAUGCGAUUUCGGUCAAAUCAUGUGGCAUUCGAGUGGCGGACGGGUGAGUAACGCGUGGGUAACCUGCCUUACACAGGGGGAUAACACCUGGAAACAGGUGCUAAUACCGCAUAAGCGCACAGGGCCGCAUGGCCCGGUGUGAAAAACUCCGGUGGUGUAAGAUGGACCCGCGUCUGAUUAGCUUGUUGGCGGGGUAGGGGCCCACCAAGGCGACGAUCAGUAGCCGGCCUGAGAGGGUGGACGGCCACAUUGGGACUGAGACACGGCCCAAACUCCUACGGGAGGCAGCAGUGGGGGAUAUUGGACAAUGGGGGAAACCCUGAUCCAGCGACGCCGCGUGAGUGAAGAAGUAUUUCGGUAUGUAAAGCUCUAUCAGCAGGGAAGCAAGUGACGGUACCUGAGGAAUAAGCCACGGCUAACUACGUGCCAGCAGCCGCGGUAAUACGUAGGUGGCAAGCGUUAUCCGGAUUUACUGGGUGUAAAGGGCGUGUAGGCGGGACUGCAAGUCAGAUGUGAAAACCACGGGCUCAACCUGUGGCCUGCAUUUGAAACUGUAGUUCUUGAGUACUGGAGAGGCAGACGGAAUUCCUAGUGUAGCGGUGAAAUGCGUAGAUAUUAGGAGGAACACCAGUGGCGAAGGCGGUCUGCUGGACAGCAACUGACGCUGAGGCGCGAAAGCGUGGGGAGCAAACAGGAUUAGAUACCCUGGUAGUCCACGCUGUAAACGAUGGAUACUAGGUGUGGGGGGACUGACCCCCUCCGUGCCGCAGUUAACACAAUAAGUAUCCCACCUGGGGAGUACGAUCGCAAGGUUGAAACUCAAAGGAAUUGACGGGGGCCCGCACAAGCGGUGGAGUAUGUGGUUUAAUUCGAAGCAACGCGAAGAACCUUACCAGGGCUUGACAUCCCGGUGACCGCUCUAGAGAUAGGGCUUUCUCUUCGGAGACAUCGGAGACAGGUGGUGCAUGGUUGUCGUCAGCUCGUGUCGUGAGAUGUUGGGUUAAGUCCCGCAACGAGCGCAACCCUUAUUGUUAGUUGCUACGCAAGAGCACUCUAGCGAGACUGCCGUUGACAAAACGGAGGAAGGUGGGGACGACGUCAAAUCAUCAUGCCCCUUAUGGCCAGGGCUACACACGUGCUACAAUGGCGUAAACAAAGGGAAGCGAGAUUGUGAAAUGGAGCAAAUCCCAAAAAUAACGUCUCAGUUCGGAUUGUAGUCUGCAACUCGACUACAUGAAGCUGGAAUCGCUAGUAAUCGCAGAUCAGAAUGCUGCGGUGAAUACGUUCCCGGGUCUUGUACACACCGCCCGUCACACCAUGGGAGUUGGAAAUGCCCGAAGUCGGUGACCUAACCUGAAAAGGGAGGAGCCGCCGAAGGCAGGUCUGAUAACUGGGGUG